AUUUGCUCCAAAAUGUAUGCUAACUAUACUUGUAUUUGAAAUAAAAGAAGGAAAAAACCAACAAAAAGUUAAAAAAACAAGUUAACCAUAAUUUAUCAUUACUUAUUAGAGGAAGAUACCAAUGGUUACGUGUGUGGGGGUGUACUCCCCCGGAAAAGUUUUGAAAUUUGAAACACGGAAAUGCCAUUUCCUGCAUUCUGAGCAUCCAAAUUUGCUCUAAAAUUUAUGCUAACUAUACUUGUAUUUGAAAUAAAAGAAGGAAAAAAUGCACAAAAAGUAAAAAA